UACGGAGGGUGCAAGCAUUGAUCGGAAUUACUGGGCGUAAAGGGCGCGUAGGCGGACUGGCAAGUCAGAUGUGAAAUUCCGCGGCUCAACUGCGGAGCUGCAUUUGAAACUGCCAGACUGGAGCGUAGUUAGGGAAAACGGAAUUCCACGUGUAGCGGUGAAAUGCGUAGAUAUGUGGAAGAACACCGGUGGUGAAGACGGUUUUCUGGGCUAUUGCUGACGCUGAGGCGCGAAAGCUAGGGGAGCAAAC
rnacentral:rRNA from 1 species